rnacentral:rRNA from 1 species
GACGAACGCUGGCGGCGUGCCUAAUACAUGCAAGUCGAACGCAGUGGGGACGGGUGAGUAACACGUGGGUAACCUCCCAUCAGAGGGGAUAACACUUGGAAACAUGUCCUAACCCGAUACUGACGGAUGGACCCGCGGUGCAUUAGCUAGUUGGUGGGGUAACGGCUCACAAAGGCCACGAUGCAUAGCUGACCUGGGAGGGUGAUCGGCCACACUGGGACUGAGACACGGCCCAGACUCCGACGGGAGGCAGCAGUAGGGAAUCUUCGGCAAUGGACGAAAGUCUGACCCAGCAACGCCGCGUGAGUGAAGAAGGUUUUCGGAUCGUAAAACUCUGUUGGCAGGGAGGCGGUAUCUGACCAGAAAGCAACGGCUAACUACGUGCCAGCAGCCGCGGUAAUAC